GGAAUUAAGCAUAUCAAUAAGCGGAGGAAAAGAAAAUAACAAUGAUACCCUUAGUAGCGGCGAGCGAAGUGGGUAAAGCUCAAGUUUAAAACCUGUUUGUCCUAGACAAACCGGAUUGUAAACUAAGGACGUGCUAUCCAGGCUCUUUGGACCUUCAAGUCCUUUGGAAUAAGGCUUCACAGAGGGUGACAAUCCCGUAGAGGGUCUUGAAAGAGUCUAUUGCGAUGCAUGCUCCAAGAGUCAGGUUGUUUGGGAAUGCAGCCUAAAGUGGGAGGUAAAUCCCUCCUAAAGCUAAAUAUUGGCGAGAGACCGAUAGCAAACAAGUACCGUGAGGGAAAGUUGAAAAGGACUUUGAAAAGAGAGUCAAAAGUACGUGAAAUUGCUUAAAGGGAAGCGUUUGGAGCUAGUUUGGCUAGUCUGUUAUCAGCCUGAGCUUCGGCUUUGGUGUACUAUCAGGCUAUUUGCCGGCCAACUUUCAGGAUUGGAAGGAAAGCUUAGUGCUUUGGAGUCUAAAGAGACCUUUGCGGAAGCCUCUGGUGGAGCGUUGGUCUGCCUUGGCCCUUCUGAACCUAUAGUUGGCUUAAUGGCUCUAACGGCCCGUCUUGACC
rnacentral:rRNA from 1 species